rnacentral:rRNA from 1 species
GACGAACGCUGGCGGCGUGCUUAACACAUGCAAGUCGAACGGUAAGGCCCCUUCGGGGGUACACGAGUGGCGAACGGGUGAGUAACACGUGAGCAACCUGCCCUUGACACUGGAAUAACAGUUGGAAACAGCUGCUAAUGCCGGAUAUGACCUUCGGUGACAUCACCUGGAGGUGGAAAGUGCUUAGCGGUCAAGGAUGGGCUCGCGGCCUAUCAGCUAGUUGGUGAGGUAACGGCUCACCAAGGCUUCGACGGGUAGCCGGCCUGAGAGGGCGAACGGCCACACUGGGACGGAGAUACGGCCCAGACUCCUACGGGAGGCAGCAGUGGGGAAUAUUGCACAAUGGGCGCAAGCCUGAUGCAGCAACGCCGCGUGCGGGAUGACGGCCUUCGGGUUGUAAACCGCUUUCAGUCCCGACGAAGCGCAAGUGACGGUAGGAACAGAAGAAGGACCGGCCAACUACGUGCCAGCCGCCGCCGUAAUAC